CACAUGACUGCUGAGAUAAACCUGUGAACUUUCCCUUACAGAGACUCCGUCCUGUGCUAGACCUUGGAGGUCAAAAGCAAGCUUUGGUCUAAGUGGGGCUGGUUUGGAAAGCCUUCAACAUAGCACAAGAGCUCGCUCAUCAGAAGUCUUCUAAUUAGCACAUUCUUAUUUCUACCUGAAAUGUAUGAAGCCCAAAAAUAAUCAAUGCCUGACUUCAAUUCUAGGAAAAGAAAAGGACAGUUGGCAGUGUCUCACUAUGGAGCCCAGGUUGGCCUCAAACUUGCAGUGAUCCUCCUGCCUCAGCCUCCCAAGCGCUUAGCAAAGUCUCCAUCUUUUUAUUCUCUGAGGAGAAGUCCUCUUCCAUACCAUAUGCUUUGUCUUGGAGAGAAGAUAAAGGAGAUGAGGGAAGGUGGAAGUCCUGACUUACUGGCCUCUUAAGCCAAAUGAAGAAACCGGAGCUGGGUCUAUGGCUAUACCAUCCUGAACGCGCACAAUCGCAUCUGAUCUUGGAAGCUAAGCAGGGUCGGGCCCGUACAGGGGAUCUAACUCAGGACCUCGAAGGCGCAGUGCCACUGAGCUAGAUCCCUGGCCCACUCGAGCGGUUUGGGAUAGGACGGUCUAGACUAAGACAUCAGCCUAAGGAUACACAAAGAAGAGUCGCCGGGGAGCUCUCCACUACUGUGCUCUCUCUUCCGCAGCAGUCCGCUCAGAGCGGUACUGUACUUAUUUUUCUACAUUUAC
rnacentral:lncRNA from 1 species